rnacentral:rRNA from 1 species
GACGAACGCUGGCGGCGUGCUUAACACAUGCAAGUCGAACGAAGUGGCGAACGGGUGAGUAACGCGUAAUCAACCCGCCCUUCAGAGGGGGACAACAGUUGGAAACGACUGCUAAUACCGCAUACUGAAGGAGGGGAUUGCGUCUGAUUAGCUAGUUGGAGGGGGAACGGCCCACCAAGGCGAUGAUCAGUAGCCGGGCUGGGAGGAUGGACGGCAACAUUGGGAAUGGGAAAAGGGCCAGACGCCUACGGGAGGCAGCAGUGGGGAAUCUUCCGAAAUGGACGAAAGUCUGAAGGAGCAACGCCGCGUGAGUGAUGACGGCCUUCGGGUUGGAAAGCUCUGUUAAUCGGGACGCGGUACCGGAAUAGAAAGCCACGGCUAACUACGUGCCAGCAGCCGCGGUAAUUC